AACGAACGCUGGCGGCAUGCCUAACACAUGCAAGUCGAACGAGACCUUCGGGUCUAGUGGCGCACGGGUGCGUAACGCGUGGGAACCUGCCCUUAGGUUCGGAAUAACUCCCCGAAAGGGGUGCUAAUACCGGAUAAUGUCUUCGGACCAAAGAGUUAUCGCCUUUGGAUGGGCCCGCGUUGGAUUAGCUAGUUGGUAGGGUAAAAGCCUACCAAGGCGACGAUCCAUAGCUGGUCUGAGAGGAUGAUCAGCCACACUGGGACUGAGACACGGCCCAGACUCCUACGGGAGGCAGCAGUGGGGAAUAUUGGACUAUGGGCGACAGCCUGAUCCAGCAAUGCCGCGUGAGUGAUGAAGGCCUUAGGGUUGUAACUCUCUUUUACCCGGGAUGCUAAUGACAGUACCGUGAGAAUAAGCUCCGGCUAACUCCGUG
rnacentral:rRNA from 1 species